GUACUGCCGAAGCAAGUACAUAUACUGAAAUUGGAAUGAUACAGAGCAUAUUAGCAUGGCCCCUGCGCAAGGAUGACACGCAAAAUCUUGAAGCGUUCCACAUUUUA
rnacentral:snRNA from 1 species